rnacentral:rRNA from 1 species
UUCUUCGGGGUGAAGCUCCUGGAACGACCCCUGCUUGAGGGGUGAGUAACACGUGGGCAACCUGCCUGUAAGAUAGGAAAAAAGCGGGGAAACCGGGGCUAAUGCCGGGUAAUACUUUCUUUCGCAUGAAGGAAAGUUGAAAAAAGGGUUCUUGCUAGAAAUUACAGAUGGGCCCGCGGCGCAUUACCUAGUUGGUGAGGUUGCGGCUCACCAAGGCGACAAUGCGUAGCCGACCUGAGAGGGUGAUCGGCCCCACUGGGACUGAGACACGGCCCAGACUCCUACGGGAGGCAGCAGUAGGGAAUCUUCCGCAAUGGACAAAAGUCUGACGGAGCAACGCCGCGUGUACGAUGAAAGUCUUCGGAUCGUAAAGUUCUGUUGUUAGGGAAAAACAAUUUCUGUGCGAAUAGAGCGGUGCCUUGUCUGUACCUAACGAGGAAGCCCCGGCUAACUACGUGCCAGCUUCCGCGGUAAUACGUAUGGGGCAAGCGUUGUCCGGAAUUAUUGGGCGUAAAGCGCGCGCAGGCGGUUCCUUAAGUCUGAUGUGAAACCCCACGGCUCAACCGUGGAGGGUCAUUGUAAACUGGGGAACUUGAGGACACAAGAGGAGAGUGCAAUUCCCCCGUGUAGCGCGUGAAAUGCGUAGGAUAUGUGGAGGAA